rnacentral:misc_RNA from 1 species
AAAGUCGUAACAAGGUUUCCGUAGGUGAACCUGCGGAAGGAUCAUUAUUGAAUAUUCUUGAUGGGUUGUAGCUGGCUCUUCGGGGCAUGUGCACGCCUGUCUUGACUUUAUUCAUCCACCUGUGCACCUUUUGUAGUCUUGGGGGCUGAGAGCAGUCAACUUGUCGGACGGCCAUAUGGCCUUUCCGGAUAUGAGGAAUGCUGAGCGUGAAAAGCGUACAGCUCUUCUCAAAGGACUUGCCAAACCUCAAGUACUAUGUAUUCAUAUACCACAUUGCAUGUUGUAGAAUGUGAUCAAUGGGCCUAUGUGCCUAUAAAAAGUUAUAUACAACUUUCAGCAACGGAUCUCUUGGCUCUC